CUCAGCUCGUCUAACGUUCCAGCGAUUUCUUAGAGUUUGGAGUAUUGCCCGUUUCUUCAUCCCUUCCUGAUUUGUCCCCCUUCAGAUUUGUUCACCUGUCUUGGACUGAUUACCUGAGUACUGAACCCAUUUUGGAUUCAACUCUGCCUUCUCUGAGAUCUGUGACUCUGUUCGGUCCUGACUUGACUACUAUCAGUAACAAAAUCAGCUAUCAAAUCAAGCACGCAAUGAGAGACACGCUGACUGUACCGAACAAUGUAAGUGAAGUGAAACGAUGUGGAAUCAAAGACUGCAGCUUUGGUAUGUGUGAGAGCACACAGAACACAAGACGUCCGUGCUUUUUCAAGUCGCCAUCAGUUUCAGGCUGUAAAGGGCUGCUUGGUAAGCAGUUGGUGCGCUCCAGAAAACUCGCCAUUAUUUCAAGUUCUUAUAUAGUAGUUUACAGCCAAGUUUUGGGGGGAACCCAGAGGUGUGUGGACACGAGAGGACAGCCGGAACAGGUACUCGGCUGUGGGCACGGGCCAAGUCAAAAAAUGGUUGGAAAUCACUCCUGCAGCGUCUCCUGAUGUCGAGUCUGUACUGACACAGGGCCUGUUAGGUGCUGUUCCUUUCUGGAAGGACGUGUGUGCAACCUGAGCUCAAGAAGUGUCUGAUCAGCUGGAUUUGAAAACACAAAACACUUUAAUGAGAUUAAAACUUUUUUUUUUAUGGAAAACUACUGUAAGCAGAGAUAUCCACCACUGGCAGAGCUUUUACUCCUUCUCCUUCCCUCUCCUCUGAGACCCUCAUAGGGAAACAGAGAUAUGUUGUUUUUACAUUUUCUCCAUUAGACUCUUCCUAUGAAGUACUAGCAGCACAAAGCUUCUUUUGUCUAAAAUAAUCAACCAAUGGCGUCCGAAUCAGAAAUUAAUAUCAUAAUUACAGAUUUUUUAACCCAUGGAUCUAAAAGAAAUAUUGAGGAGUCAUUGUACAGCCAUUACUUCUGACUUUUAUGUGCCUUUCAACAUAUUUUGAGUUCUCUGAAACUCACAUUUGCAGCUCAACCUCCACUCUGUCACUGCAUGUAAGCGCAGCUCUUGUAUGCAUUGAGUAAAUAAGGAACACUGGACCCCCCCGAGGGUCAGGACUCUCCUCAGUCUGACACUUUGUCCUUAACAGCCUCGCUUUAGUCUGUGCAGGCUCUCCACAUUAUAUGAUGCCAGUUGACCCUGGGUUUAUUUUUCUGAGAAGUAUGUCGAAAAGUUAAAUGUUUUUUUUUCCCCCUUACCAUCCUCACCUUGUUUAACAGACAGUCAUUUGAUAGACAUGA